rnacentral:pre_miRNA from 1 species
AUCACCUGGAGAUCUUGUUAACAUGCAAAUUCUGAUUCAGUAGGUCUGGGAUAGGGCCCAAGAUUCUGUAUUUCUAGCAAGUAUCCACGUGAUAUGAA